ACUAGGCUCUGGCUCCAAUUACCAAAGUCUCACUGACCUACACAUAAGGUCUUGUGAUGGUCUAGAAUUGUUUCCCAAUGGAGGCUUGCCCACACCAAAUUUAAAACGACUGUGGAUAAGAGAGUGUCAACAUCUCAAGUCCUUACCUGAUCGGAUGGAUCUACUUUCGUCCCUUUCGUCACUGUGGAUAAAUAAGUGUCAACAUCUCAAGUCCUUACCUGAUCGGAUGGAUCUACUAUCGUCCCUUUCGUCCCUGGAUGUGUCUUCUUGUGCUUCAUUAAUGGAACUCUUUCCCCAAGAGAAUAUUCCUCCAAAUCUGUCUAGCCUUGAAAUCAGAAAUUGCGGAAAACUAAAGCCCCCGGGGGAG
rnacentral:lncRNA from 1 species